GCCAGACUCCUACGGGAGGCAGCAGUGGGGAAUAUUGCACAAUGGGGGAAACCCUGAUGCAGCGACGCCGCGUGAGUGAAGAAGUAUUUCGGUAUGUAAAGCUCUAUCAGCAGGGAAGAAAAUGACGGUACCUGACUAAGAAGCCCCGGCUAACUACGUGCCAGCAGCCGCGGUAAUACGUAGGGAGCGAGCGUUGUCCGGAAUUACUGGGUGUAAAGGGAGCGUAGGCGGGACUGCAAGUUGGGUGUCAAAUCUACCGGCUCAACCGGUAGCCGCACUCAAAACUGCAGUUCUUGAGUGAAGUAGAGGCAGGCGGAAUUCCUAGUGUAGCGGUGAAAUGCGUAGAUAUACGGAGGAACACCAGUGGCGAAGGCGGAUUGCUGGACAGUAACCGACGCUGAGGCGCGAAAGCGUGGGGAGCAAACAGGAUUAGAUACCCGAGUA
rnacentral:rRNA from 1 species